rnacentral:rRNA from 1 species
UACAGAGGGUGCGAGCGUUGUCCGGAAUCACUGGGCGUAAAGGGCGCGUAGGCGGCCAUUCAAGUCGGGGGUGAAAGCCCAGGGCUCAACCCUGGAAUUGCCUUCGAUACUGUUUGGCUAGAGACCGGAAGAGGUUAGUGGAACUGCGAGUGUAGAGGUGAAAUUCGUAGAUAUUCGCAAGAACACCAGUGGCGAAGGCGGCUAACUGGUCCGGUUCUGACGCUGAGGCGCGAAAGCGUGGGGAGCAAACAGG